GGGGAUGAUCGGUUUCGACAUUGCCUGCAUGACUGUGAGAAGCGGGCCGAGGAUGCAGGGUUAUCUCGUUAACGAUCUCUGCAAACAACAGGUGCCAAUUCCAAGCGCACCGACUUCGCUCUCGCUGUCUAAGCCAGAGCCAUGAAGUCCGUCAGCCCGCGCGUGCCCUCGUCGCGGAUGCUGGCGUCAGCUAGAGGGCUUGCUAUGACGCUGUGUCUCAGGGCGUCGUGGGACUUGAACUGAGACUGGGCUCGUCGACCUGGAUGCCAAGGGCAAAGGUCGGAGCCGAGUAGAACGCUCUCUUUGGCUACGCCCGUAGAAGGCGCGGAAUUACAGCAGUGGACGGGGGUUCAAUUCCCCCCAUCUCCACAA
rnacentral:tmRNA from 1 species